GUUGGGAGCUUUGAAGAGGCGGAGGGCAAAUAACCCUCUGCCUUGACGCGCUCCAGAGGAAGGGUCGGCCAACUACGUGCCAGCAGCAGCGGUAAUACGUAGGACCCGAGCGUUGUUCGGAUUUACUGGGCUUAAAGGGCGCCUAGGCGGGCUUGUAUGUCGAGCAUGAAAUCCCCCGGCUCAACCGGGGAACUGUGCUCGAAACUGCAAGUCUUGAGUGUAGGAGAGGAGAGCGGAACUCCCGGUGUAGCAGUGAAAUGCGUUGAUAUCGGGAUGAACGCCGGUGGCGAAAGCGGCUCUCUAGCCUGCUACUGACGCUGACGCGCGAAAGCUAGGGGAGCAAACGGGAUUAGAUACCCCGGUAGUCCUAGCCGUAAACGAUGGGCACUAGGUAGAGGGGAUUCCGAUGUCCUCUUUGCCGUAGCAAAAGCGAUAAGUGCCCCGCCUGGGGAGUACGGCCGCAAGGCUAAAACUCAAAGGAAUUGACGGGGGCCCGCACAAGCGGUGGAACAUGUGGCUCAAUUCGAUGCAACGCGAAGAACCUUAUCCUGGGCUUGACAUCCC
rnacentral:rRNA from 1 species